rnacentral:rRNA from 1 species
GACGAACCGUGCAAACGUUAUUCGGAAUCACUGGGCUUAAAGGGCGCGUAGGCGGGCUCGCCAGUCAGGGGUGAAAGCCCACGGCUCAACCGUGGAAGUGCCUUUGAUACUGCGAGUCUCGAGGGAGGUAGGGGCGUGCGGAACUUCCGGUGGAGCGGUGAAAUGCGUAGAUAUCGGAAGGAACAUCGGUGGCGAAAGCGGCGCGCUGGACCUCUUCUGACGCUGAGGCGCGAAAGCCAGGGGAGCGAACGGG